AUCCACCUGACAAGUUCCAAAUAGGACGAAACGAGAGUCCUGGAU
rnacentral:hammerhead_ribozyme from 1 species